ACUCUACCCUUAUGCUCUAAGCACCUCCAAAGGCUCCAUCUCCUAAUACCUCACAUCAAACAUUAGGAUUUCAACAUAGGAAUUUUUUUAGCGGAGGGACACAAACAUUUAGACCAUAGCAAUGCACACCCCUUCCCUCUCAUUGUUGGACCAAUCUUGCGUAGAUUCCACUCUAGUCACUUUCAGUUAUGCAAACAGUCUCAUUUAGGCAAUUAUAACUCAUUUUUGGGUUUUAGAAGAUUCAGCUCAGCUUAAUAUCAAAACAGCAAUCCCACGUCCAGGGGACCUACACUGUUGGAAGAGUCUCUCCCUCUUUUUCAAUUAGUUGAAGAGACGCGAGUCUUUUGCCACUGGUGCUGCUAUUGUUCUAUCCUGGCCACUCUCUUAGGCAGGUCCCAUGAAGACAGCUUGAGCAUGCUUACCUUCCGUUGCAUCUGUGAGUCGGUGGGAAGCACUUGCAUCCUCGCCACCCAGAAGUCUAGAUUGCUCCAGUUCAGCUCUCUCUUUACCUUCAUGGCAAAUGGCUGCACCUGGCCUCCUGCUUGCUAUAGUCACCAGCUGCAAAACAAAUAUAGAAAAGCAAGGCCUGAGGUCAUGCUAUGCAAACCAACCCCUGGGAUCCAUCUGGUCCAACAACCUCAGCUCAUUGAGAAAAGGUAUAGCUGGCCUGCAAAGGCGUCAAAACUCAGGGAAACUCACUUGCUGUAGAAGCUGAUCUGCAGAAUCCAUCGGACUGUUCGCCAGACUAAAAGAGCUGUGAUGUUUUGAUCCCUAGAGCUUUUUUGGGUAACCUUUCAUGUACUGUCACCAGUUACUUCCAGGUUUAAUGUGCUUUCAUCAAUGGGUUUUUGAAGCCAGCCUCCACUCCACUCUCACUUUAUUUAUAUAGUGUUGGAGGGUGGAAUUGACAUCCUCUUUCAGACGGAAAGUAAAUUGAGUUCUCUCUUUUAGCUAUGGAUUAUUGAGCAGGUUGCAAUAGAAUUGUAAUGCCGCUGGUGGUGACCUUUGUGUAGGAAUUUUUGUGUAUUUUGCAAAGCAAAAAUAAAUCCAAUGAAGCUUAAUCAUGGCCAAAAUCCAAACUGAGAAAACCUUUGAAAGGUAGAUUAAAAAGCCAUAGCAGCAUUCAUUUCAUAGAAAUUAAUGAAUUAUAAAAGUGAGAGAUAUUAAAUUUGAAUAGCCCAGCUCUCCCUCCACCCCCAGAUGUGCAAAAAAGGCAAGUUCUUGGUAGAAUGCCAUUAUUUUCACAAGGUAAAAAGCCAGGGAUAAUGUAACAGAAUAUUUCCUGGUUAAAAAAAUAAUAAGUUCCAUAUUGACCCAUUCGAUCGUUAGCUUCCAUCUCAGUUCACACUUCAAAAUGUUCUCUCAAAUGGUUAUGCAUUGGACACAUGGGAAGAAAAUCUGAGGUGAUAGCCUAAGCUUUUAGAGUAAACCAAACCCAUUGAGUGGCAAGUUAAUGUACAAUAGCGUCCAUAAGGCAUGUUAACUGGC
rnacentral:lncRNA from 1 species